UCGAACGAUGAAGCUUCCUGCUUGCAGGAAGUGGAUUAGUGGCGAACGGGUGAGUAUCACGUGAGCAACCUGCCCUUGACUCUGGGAUAAGCCUGGGAAACUGGGUCUAAUACCGGAUAUAACCUCUUACCGCAUGGUGAGUGGUGGAAAGCUUUUGCGGUCUUGGAUGGGCUCGCGGCCUAUCAGCUUGACGGUGAGGUAGUGGCUCACCGUGGCGAUGACGGGUAGCCGGCCUGAGAGGGUGACCGGCCACACUGGGACUGAGACACGGCCCAGACUCCUACGGGAGGCAGCAGUGGGGAAUAUUGCACAAUGGGCGAAAGCCUGAUGCAGCGACGCCGCGUGCGGGAUGACGGCCUUCGGGUUGUAAACCGCUUUCAGCAGGGAAGAAGCGCAAGUGACGGUACCUGCAGAAGAAGCGCCGGCUAACUACGUGCCAGCAGCCGCGGUAAUACGUACGGCGCGAGCGUUAUCCGGAUUUAUUGGGCGUAAAGAGCUCGUAGCGGUUUGCCGCGUCUGCUGUGAAAGCC
rnacentral:rRNA from 1 species